rnacentral:rRNA from 1 species
GGGUGGCGAGUGGCGAACGGGUGAGUAAUGUAUCGGAACGUGCCCAGUAGUGGGGGAUAACUACUCGAAAGAGUGGCUAAUACCGCAUGAGAUCUCUGGAUGAAAGUGGGGGACCGCAAGGCCUCACGCUACUGGAGCGGCCGAUAUCAGAUUAGGUUGUAGGUGGGGUAGAGGCCUACCAAGCCUGCGAUCUGUAGCUGGUCUGAGAGGACGACCAGCCACACUGGGACUGAGACACGGCCCAGACUCCUACGGGAGGCAGCAGUGGGGAAUUUUGGACAAUGGGCGCAAGCCUGAUCCAGCAAUGCCGCGUGCAGGAUGAAGGCCUUCGGGUUGUAAACUGCUUUUGUACGGAACGAAAAGGCUCUGGUUAAUACCUGGGGUCCAUGACGGUACCGUAAGAAUAAGCACCGGCUAACUACGUGCCAGCAGCCGCGGUAAUACGUAGGGUGCAAGCGUUAAUCGGAAUUACUGGGCGUAAAGCGUGCGCAGGCGGUUUUGUAAGACAGAGGUGAAAUCCCCGGGCUCAACCUGGGAACUGCCUUUGUGACUGCAAGGCUGGAGUACGGCAGAGGGGGAUGGAAUUCCGCGUGUAGCAGUGAAAUGCGUAGAUAUGCGGAGGAACACCGAUGGCGAAGGCAAUCCCCUGGGCCUGUACUGACGCUCAUGCACGAAAGCGUGGGGAGCAAACAGGAUUAGAUAUCCUGGUAGUCCACGCCCUAAACGAUGUCAACUGGUUGUUGGGUAUUUGUUUACUCAGUAACGAAGCUAAC